rnacentral:tRNA from 1 species
UCCGUUGUGGUCUGGUGUGUUUAGAUACUUGGCUCUCAGUCGAGAUGCCCAAGUUCAAUUCCGGGCAACGGUA